rnacentral:lncRNA from 1 species
AAAACUGUAUUUACAUAAAGACAUUGCGGAAAUGUAUGAGUAAAUUGGUAUUAGGCGUACCUUUUUCGAAAAAAAAUAAAAUAAAAUAAUUAUAAAUUGAUCUUAUCGCAUAAGAGUAGUGUCGUUUAAAAAAACAAAAACAAAAAACAAAAAAAAUAAUUGAAAACAUUGGUGGUACUCCAGAAACCAAAACAAUUAAAUUAUCACACCAAUCGAGUAGACCCUAGCACACA